UCGUUUUCUACGGGCACGGCGGUAAUUUUUGUAUCGAACAAACGAACGCGAGAGUGAGAGAGAGUGAGAGAGAGGAGGAGAGGGAGAGAGAGGCGGCAGUUUCGAGGCGUCGGAAUGCAUGAUGUAACCUAAAUUAACCCGUACUGUUAAUACAUCCGCCGGCAAUAUAUUACGCACACAUGCACCCGAGAAUGUUAGGAAAACUAUCCGAGACAUGCGAGAAUGCCAGUGCUCCUCCUGGAAUCCCUAAUUUGUUCCGCAGUAACGAUUACCAUCGUCGCGAUCCAGACUCUCCGCUGGAUCUACCGAUGCGUUCUUCUCGUCGCUCUUCAAACAAUUUUCCGACAAUUAACCGGGCAGAAGGCUCUGCAAUGGACCGAACAUUUUCUAAUCCACUGCUUAUCGCCUAAAAGCUUCCCCGUAGACUGAAUAAGGACAAAAACGAAGAAACGUAACGCUAUUAUGCUCGGUCGGAAGACGUCGAAGUUCUUUCUCUACGUUUUCACACUUGGCACGCUGAUAUUGCUGCUGGACUCGUACGCGAGGCUCGCGGAGGACGCGGAUGCCAGGUGCGACGAGGAUCGUCCGCUCUGCCGGUUCCAUCAGACCCAUUUGCCCAGGCAGGCGAUGGAGUACGCUCUGUACACGCGCGGCGAGAUCACCGAGUACCUCUUCCGACGGCCCAGAGAGUACGCGGUUCGAUUUCGGAUCGAGAAGCCGUCCGGAAUUAACGAUUUGAAGAAGAUCGUGACCGAGUGAUCGACCCCGGCGAUCGACGAGCUUCGGCCGUUGAUCAAGAGGAAUGUCGAAUUAGGACGUCGAGACGAAGGAGAUCGAGUACGAGAUGCAAAGUGUCCAUUAUGGUCACCUGGAUGUUUACGACAUAGAAGUACAGUAAUGUCUCCCUUACUGACGCUCAGAUUGUCCACUAAAGUGGAUAAGAGGAGAUACGA